rnacentral:lncRNA from 1 species
GUUCCAUUGUAGGCGAGCAAGAAUCUGGAAUUCCAAUUCGAUGAGCAAUUUCCUGUGACUAUGAUGCAGUGGUGAAGAAGCAUCCAGAGACGUCAGCUCAAGAGUACUAAGGAGCAUUAAUCACUGCUUACGCUGCUGUCUCAGAGGCCUAACUGAGUGGAUAUUAGUGAAGAAACUAACCUGGAAUAGCAUGUAUGGAGAGAAAUGUCUGUUCAGAGGUAUGUAUUGCUUAAUUCCCUAUAUUGAGCAAAUUACACUCAUUGGAGCUAAUUACACUCCCUGGAGUACCUAACAUAGGCUUUGAAAAAGCACUUGGAGAACCAGUCGCAGAAAGUGCCGCUUGCUACUGCCAGAGUCAGGUCUAAUAAAUGGAUCAGUCACACUAAAUCUCAGUUCCUUGGAAAUCUGCUUCCGAAACUGCAAACGCUCCUGACGUCCAGACCAGGAUACACAGAGAGGCCACAGUCACUAACUGGUCUGAUAUCUAACGAGCUGGGGGUUAGUCUACAAACACACACACAGCAGUCUGUGUGGCUUAUCAGAACCUGUGAUGAGUCAGUCUCUGAAGUGAUCCCACUGCACCCCGCUACAGACCGAAGUCUGAUAAGGUUCCAAGAACACAAAACACAUCUGAGGAAGAGUGAGGGAGAGAGACAGAUAGACAGAGAAAGAGAGAGAAAUAGAGGGAGAAGAAGAUGGAGGAGAGACAAAGAGAGAGAGUGAGAGAGAGAUUGGGAGAGAAAUAGGUAGAUGAAGAGGGACAAGGAGAGAAAGAGUUGAAGAGAGUAAAGGAAAGCUCAAAGAUAGAGGGAUGGAUAAAGGGAAAGCAAAAACAUGGUCUUGUCACGCCCUGACCGUAGAGAUCCUUAUUAUUCUCUAUGUUUGGUUAGGUCAGGGUGUGACUCGGGUAGGAAAAUCUAUGUUUUUUGUUUCUUUGUUUUGGGCCGAGUGUGGUUCCCAAUCAGAGGCAGCUGUCUAUCGUUGUCUCUGAUUCGGAAUCAUACUUAGGCAGCCUGUUUUCUUCCUGUGUUUGUGGGAGGUUGUUUUCUGUUUAGUGUCU